UCAAACUAACUCAAAUAAUACCCAAGUUCAAACAACUCCUUAAAUACCCUAAUUCAAUCUAAUCUUACAAUUCCAAAAUCAAACUAAUUAACUUAAGAAAUACCGAAUUUCAAACAAAUCCUAAGAUACCCUAAUUCAAACUAACCCUAACAUUAAAAUUUUCAAUUCACAAUCAACAAACACAAACUAACAAUCAAAUAAUACCUAAUUCAAACUAACAAUCAAAAACCCUAAACCAUUCACUUACUAACUAACAAUCAAUCAAACUAACAAUCAAUAAAACUAAGUAUAUUAGUACUCUAAUUUUGAGAUACUUCAACUAAAUAGAAACAAAAGUAAUCUAUUAUGGAGGUUCUAAAAAUUCACCUUCACUAAGAAGGUCAGGGAUGGAGGUGCUGGUCGAGAUGAAGGCG
rnacentral:lncRNA from 1 species